AAUUUGAUUUAAUCUGAAAGUUAUGGCACCUAGAAUAAAAUUCUUAUAAACAAAUUUUGAAAACCGUCAAACGAUAUAUUCUUUAUAUAUGCUAUUAAGGAAAUAUUUGGAGAAAAACAAAAGUUGGCAGAAAUUUCUUCACGUUCCUUGAAUUGGAAAUAAAUAAAGCAAGCAGUCAAAAAAAAUUUGUUUCAAAUAAUACAUAAAAGAGUUGUGCCAGAUAUUCGAGACGAUUCAAAAGAAGUAUUCUCCACUGCCGCAAAAAGUUUCUUUAAAGCCCAGCAUAUGUAGUUGUUUCAAUAAAAGCCAAGUUUUCGCGUCAAAAUAUAUUCUAAAGUUCAUGGCAAAAAUUAAUCUAUGAUGGUCUUCAUUUACGAGUAUGUGUUUUUGUAUACAGUAUUAAAAUCACACAAAACAUUUGUCAACUUUAAACUGAACCAGUUGACUUGGCUGAGCUGGAGCUUACGUGGCAUGAAUGAGUAAACGGAAAUAAAUACGAAGAUAUAUUGAACAAAAAAUAUGGCUAUUCAUAGAACGUGGGCAAGAAAUACUUGUGGCUUUCAAAUAUUUGACAUCCGUUAAGAUGUUAGCUGAGUACCACAAGCAAAUUGUGUGCAUUUAUCUUGGAUUCAGUAUGAUUUUGCAAAACAUUUUGCAUGGAUGAACAACUUUUGAAUAGAAGCUGGGCGUUUGAUGUAUCGAUGUGGAUUACGCUCUUCUUAGCUGAAGUGUGUUUUGAGUGGUACACUUAGUUUGAGUGUCAGUGCAAAGGAUGUAUUUUUUGUACCAAAUAUGCUUUAAUGUAAAGCUUUUCGCAUAAACAAAUUUUCUUAAUAUAUACAAAUCUCAAGUCUAUCA